CUUGACAUCAAUGUCUCUUAUUUUUGUUCCCUUUUAUGUGCCAUGGAACCAAUUUCAAAACCAAGAUUGAGAUUAGAAGAAUGAGGAAUUAGCAUGAAUAUAAGCCGAUUCAGUAGCAGCAGCGAAAGCAGUGAAAUUUUCAACUGUAGAUCAAGAUUCGUUCAUGAAGGAAGGAGAUUUAGUCCUUCUGUAUGCGAACAAGGCGCUUCUAGAGGAGGCAUUGAAGCUUGCAGAUGAUGAGGAAUCAGGGGAUGAGGAGGAAAUGGUUAAGGCGGAGGACGAAAGGCGUUGUCUGUUGGGUUUAAUUGGUGUCCCGACUCCCGGAAAGUCUGCACUCACUAAUUAUAUAGUCUGUUCUUUUGAAUUUUGUGGUUUAAGGGUAUUUAAUUUGAUGGUGUUUUUGAUGAAUUGUUGAAUAUGGCGUUGGUUUAGUUAAUGAUUUUAUUGGGUAUGGUUUACGGUUUUGCUAUUAAGUAUUGGGUAGUUUUUUCAUUUGAAUAACAGUUUGAUUGAUGGUGUGGCGAUUCAUUUCUCAAAAAAAAAACAAAGAUGAUUGGUUUUCAGUAAGGUAUACACAAGGGCUAUAGGAUUAGUAUAAGGGAGUUUUAACGAAACACUUCUGACACUGUUUGUUAUAGGAUUAGUAUAAGGUGUCAAGGGCUAUAGGAUUAGUAUAAUGAAGCAUUGGAGGGGAAAAAAAUAGGGUAAACUGUUUUUUUUCAUUUGAAUAACAGUUUGCUUGAUGAUGUGGCGAUUCAUUUCCCAAAAAAAAAAGAUGAUUUUGUAUGGGGUAUACACAAUGUCUAUAGUACUAGUAUAAUGAAGCAUUGGAGGGAAACAAAGUGUAAAUUUUUCUUGGUGUAUAAGAUAAUUUGAUGAAUCGGUCAUGGUUUAGAAUUUUAUCAAAUAGCAUUAUAUUUGUAUUGACCAUGGAUAAGUUACAUCAGAAUUUUAUCAAAUAGUAUUAUAUUUGCAUUGACUAUGGAUAAGUUACAAUCUGCCUAAUUUCCCUGAAAGCAAUAUUUUCAUGGUCACUGCACUUUGGUCAGAUAGAUAUCAAAAUAGUUGUUUGCUUGAGCUGCUUGGCAGAAGCUUUCCAGGUCUCUCAGCUCCUUUUCAGGUGGAGAAAGAUGAGUUUUUGUUAGGUGUUUUGAGUGUUAAGCACGAGUAAUGUGUUCUGUCCUAACAAAAGCUUUCUUUGGAGGGAAAGAAAUGAAAAAGGUUUUGAGACUCCCAUAUUUGAGAUAUGUAUUGGUUUGGAAGAUUAUGCUUUGUUCGUAAAUUUGAAUCUUUUAAGCACUUUGUUGGAUACAAAUGGUUGUAGCAAUAUUUUCAAAAUAUUUACCAUAUUAGUGGAUUUUAUAUUUUAUCCAACUUUUGUUGUAACCCACAACAUCGCGCGGUACCCUGCUAGUUAAAGUCUAUCUAAUCAAUAU